GAUCCUGGCUCAGGAUGAACGCUGGCGGCGUGCCUAAUACAUGCAAGUCGAGCGAGAUGUUAGCGCAUGAACCUUCGGGGGAUUAUGCUAACGGAAAGCGGCGGACGGGUGAGUAACGCGUAGGCAACCUGCCCCUGACAGAGGGAUAGCCAUUGGAAACGAUGAUUAAAACCUCAUGACACCGUAGAAGCACAUGCUUCAUCGGUCAAAGAUUUAUCGGUCAGGGAUGGGCCUGCGUCUGAUUAACUAGUUGGUGAGGUAACGGCUCACCAAGGUGACGAUCAGUAGCCGACCUGAGAGGGUGAUCGGCCACAUUGGAACUGAGACACGGUCCAAACUUCUACGGAAGGCAGCAGUAGGGAAUCUUGCACAAUGGGCGAAAGCCUGAUGCAGCAACGCCGCGUGAAGGAUGAAGGCCUUCGGGUUGUAAACUUCUGUUCUAAGGGAAGAAACAAAUGACGGUACCUUAGGAGCAAGCCCCGGCUAACUACGUG
rnacentral:rRNA from 1 species